ACGACCAUAGGUAGUGGAAAAUACGGGAUCCCGUCCGCUCUCCCAUAGUCAAGCCACUAACCGGCGGAUUAGUAGUUGGCGACCAGCGAAUCCCCGCUGUUGUCUUU
rnacentral:rRNA from 1 species